GACGAACGCUGGCGGCGUGCUUAACACAUGCAAGUCGAACGGAAAGGCCCUGCUUUGGUGGGGUGCUCGAGUGGCGAACGGGUGAGUAACACGUGAGUAACCUGCCCUUGACUUUGGGAUAACUUCAGGAAACUGGGGCUAAUACCGGAUAGGAGCUCCUGCUGCAUGGUGGGGGGUGGAAAGUUUCGGCGGUUGGGGAUGGACUCGCGGCUUAUCAGCUUGUUGGUGGGGUAGUGGCUUACCAAGGCUUUGGCGGGUAGCCGGCCUGAGAGGGUGACCGGCCACAUUGGGACUGAGAUACGGCCCAGACUCCUACGGGAGGCAGCAGUGGGGAAUAUUGCACAAUGGGCGGAAGCCUGAUGCAGCAACGCCGCGUGCGGGAUGACGGCCUUCGGGUUGUAAACCGCUUUCGCCUGUGACGAAGCGUGAGUGACGGUAAUGGGUAAAGAAGCACCGGCUAACUACGUG
rnacentral:rRNA from 1 species